rnacentral:rRNA from 1 species
UGCGCAGGCGGUUAUAUAAGACAGAUGUGAAAUCCCCGGGCUCAACCUGGGAACUGCAUUUGUGACUGUAUAGCUAGAGUACGGCAGAGGGGGAUGGAAUUCCGCGUGUAGCAGUGAAAUGCGUAGAUAUGCGGAGGAACACCGAUGGCGAAGGCAAUCCCCUGGGCCUGUACUGACGCUCAUGCACGAAAGGCGUGGGGAGCAAACA